AUUUCUUUAAAUAAAUCUAAAUCUAAAAAACAAAUCCAAUGAAAAAACCCAAACAAGUUAAAGGUGAUUUGCAAUAUUUUACCAAUGGUUUAAACUCUAAGAAGUGGUAGUUUCCGUUGCAGGGGGUAGUAUAAUAAUUUUUUAAACCAAAUUCUCAAUCUCCUCUCUGUCUUAUGUUCUUCCUUGUUUUUGCAAGUCCAUCUAUCCAACCACAUUUAUAUUUGUUGAGUCAGAUGUCCUCUACAUAUCUCUUGAUUGAGUUGGUCUUUUCCUUGCACAUUUCUUAGCCUGAGC